rnacentral:lncRNA from 1 species
GCGUCUCCUCUGCCAAGACGUUCGGAAGGAAUAGUUGCUGUGGUGCUUUCCAGAGCCGUGCGUGAUCCUGGGAGUUACUAGCAACACUUAGAAACCAGUUUUGUUCAUUGCAGUGCAGUUGCCACCAAGGGCCUCCUCCUGCAGAGCCAGGCAGCGCCGAGUGGUUGUGGCAGGCCUCGCUAAGCCACGAUCCCUGGCAGGGAGGAGCUGCUGGCUGCACGGUCCCGGGUCAGAGAACCGAAGCAAGAGUCUUGUAAGACCAAAGGCUUCUUCGACUGCCCACACAUCUGCCAUUCACCUGGAGUUCAAAAGUGGGGGUGAUGGUCAAGGAGAUGGAUAUUGUGCCCUUAAUUUGAACUGAAAGAUGAAGACACCCUUUCCUUUUGGGGAAAAGGUGUCUGAUCGGCUUAUUGGAGCAACAAUGAGGGCUGGCUGGCUUUGCCAACUGCUUAUAUGGUGGAUAUUUCCCAUAAAUCAGAUGAAUUGAGUCUAUAGCUCCAAAGUUUUGUCAAAAAUAUGGCCGGGCAUGGUGCCUCAUGCCUGUAAUCUCAACACUUUGGGAGGCUGAGGUGGACGGAUCAACUGAAGUCAAGAGUUCAAGACCAGCCUGGCAUGAUGGCACAUGCCUAUAAUCCCAGCUACUCAGGAGGCUGAGGCAGGAGAAUCGCCUGAACCCAGGAGGAAGAGGUUACAGCGAGCCAAGAUUGCGCCACUGCACUCCAGCCUGGAGAGAAGAUCUCGCUAUGUUGCCUGGGCUGAUCUUGAACUCCUGGCCUCAAGCAAUCCACCAGGCCUAGCCACCAAAAAGGUUUAAGGCUUCUGUGAGUCCAGAAAAUGUGAAGAUCAUGAUUCCAAGGAUACGGCUUUAAAAGCAAGCCAGAGCAGGAGGAGGUAAUUUUCCCAGUCUCUGUAAUUUAGGACUGUAAUUUGCACUUGUUAGUUUUAAGGCACGUGGAAGUGAUGUUUGCUGUUGGUUGAGGGUCUGCCAAGAGGACAUCCCCUAAGUGCAGUUUAGAGGUCAAGGUCAGUCCUGUCUGGC